rnacentral:rRNA from 1 species
AUUGAACGCUGGCGGCAGGCUUAACACAUGCAAGUCGAGCGGGGAAAGGUAGCUUGCUACCUGACCUAGCGGCGGACGGGUGAGUAAUGCUUAGGAGUCUGCCUAUUAGGGGGGGACAACAUUCCGAAAGGAAUGCUAAUACCGCAUACGCCCUACGGGGGAUAGCAGGGGAUCUUGGGACCUUGCGCUAAUAGAUGAGCCUAAGUCAGAUUAGCUAGUUGGUGGGGUAAAGGCCUACCAAGGCGACGAUCUGUAGCGGGUCUGAGAGGAUGAUCCGCCACACUGGGACUGAGACACGGCCCAGACUCCUACGGGAGGCAGCAGUGGGGAAUAUUGGACAAUGGGCGAAAGCCUGAUCCAGCCAUGCCGCGUGUGUGAAGAAGGCCUUUUGGUUGUAAAGCACUUUAAGCGAGGAGGAGGCUACUUGGAUUAAUACUCUAGGAUAGUGGACGUUACUCGCAGAAUAAGCACCGGCUAACUCUGUGCCAGCAGCCGCCGUAA